UAACGAAAGUAAAUUGCUAAA
rnacentral:piRNA from 1 species